GUCUUAUUCCUUUUUUGCCUUCAGCCUCUUUAUGGUGCUGCCUUGUGGCGUCUUGAUCAAGCAGCAUUGUACAGGGCUAUGACGGCGUAGAGGAGCU
rnacentral:pre_miRNA from 1 species